AACAUGACAGGAAAGUCUAAAUAUUAAUUGUAAAAACAAAAAAAGAUAACAUUUUUGUGGGGGGGAAAAAAACAUGUGCGCCAUGAUCUGAUGUGCUGCUUGUAUCCCAUAUCAUGAUCACUUCCUCUUUCGGAUGCUGAUGCUUCUCUUAUUGUUGCCCCUAGUAUUCCUUAUUUUUAUUCUCGUGUACCUCAAUGUACUUGGCUGAACAACCUCUCCACAGCCGUCUCGACCUGCGCAGACAAUUCCUAAUUAUACAACUCCAGUAAUUGCUUUAAAAUCACGACUUCCCUUCUUUAUCAUAUCUCUACCACAAAUCGAGUAAACUAUUGAAUUACAGUUCAGCAGAAUCAAAUCGUGCAGCAUCAGUGGCAGAUCUAAGUGGUGGCGAGCUGGGAAGGCCGCCCUAGCUAGAUUCACCUAAACAACCGUACGUGCUGCUCUAUCGAAAUUUUAAAUAGUUGUCAGGCGACAGUCUUGCAGUUGCAGGGAUGGAAAUUGUGGAAGAAAGAAGACGACUGAAUUGGACAGGAAACCCUUCUCCAAUUCUCCUUCUUCCCCACGAUUUGUGAAGUGCGAAUUCAGAAGUCAAUACUGUAGCUUGCCGACAAGUCGUUGCUGACCUCUCCAACCUCCAGUCUUAGACUCUUACACUAAUUAUGAGUGCCUCUCUCUCUCCCCCCCUCCUUUUUUAUUUUUGUUCACUUAAUUUAUUCUUGAUUUAUUAUUUAUGAGUUAUGAUUUAUUUUUUAUGAGUUAUGAAAAAUAACAAUAGGAAUAAAAGUAAAAUUGCAGUAUGUGAUAUUUAGGGAUUUUGAAUUUGGAUAGAAUCACUUCUUUAGAUAGCACGAAUUCUGUGUGAAUUGAAUGAAGACAACAUUGUAGAGGGUUGAGAGAAUUUAGGGAUUGGAAUUGGCACUAAUUUGGUAGAAUAAGCAACAUGUGGAUUGCUUGAUGAUUUUAACUCAAUAGAUCGAAGAUAAUUGAUUAAGAUGGAGAAAUUCCCGUCAGUUAAUUGAAUUAGUAUAAGGAGUUGAGGGAUUUGAAUAUUUUUACUUAUACUACUAAAUUAAGGAGUUGGAAUCAAAUUGUAUCAUGUAUUUUUUGUGUACUAUUAUUUCAGAUUGUAUUGAAUUGUAUUUUCAUGUAGAUUUUUAAGUUUCAGUACAUUUACUUAUAGAUUGAAGAAUUUUUACUAUUAUUUAAUUGAAUAUUAUUAAUAAACAUCCUCGUUAUUAUGGACGUUGAUUGUCGAUGGUCAACGUUCGCCCUAGCUGAGUUCCAAUCCUGGAUUUGCCACUGUGCUGCAUCACCGAGUUAGACAAACUGUCCUUACUUAUCCAAGCUUUCAACCACCUACCCAUCAUUCCAAGUUCGAACCCGAAGUCAAACUCAACGGUUUCUUGUCCUUAGUUUCCGAUCCCCGAUCCAAUGCCAAUUCUAGUGCCGAUGGACAACUCGAAAAUUCUUUGAUCGGAACCCGAUCAUGAGAGGCGGACAUGUUGCAGCUACCAUAGGCAUCCCAAUUGCACUCCUAGCACAACACCAAGUUGUCGAUGACACACCUUACAAAAACGGCUCCAAACUACAGUUGUCACAGACCUGCAAGUGGAGAUGCUUCUUGGAGCGGGCAUUAGCUGUGUGCAAGAGCUAGUCACAUGACAAACACAACUUAGUGGAAUCGGCUUGACAAUGGAGCAUUACCUUGUUAAUCCCAUAAUUACACGCCACAAUUUCAUCUAUCAACAAUUGUGGCUAUCACGACAAGGGUUCACAAAUGAACAGUACAUGCAUCUUUCUCUCUUUUAAUAUAGUAGUGAUAGCGAUAGUUUUACACCACAUUUCUCAUUAUAUAUUUAAUUAUCCUUGACCUUUGUUCAUUGUUACAUAUAUAUUCAUAAAUUUUUUCUAUCA